rnacentral:rRNA from 1 species
UACGUGGGGGGCGAGCGUUGUUCGGAAUUAUUGGGCGUAAAGGGCGCGUAGGCGGUCGGAUAAGUCUUGUGUGAAAUCUUCGGGCUCAACUCGAAGUCUGCACAGGAAACUAUCUGGCUUGAGUGUGGGAGAGGAGAGUGGAAUUCCUGGUGUAGCGGUGAAAUGCGUAGAUAUCAGGAGGAACACCUGUGGCGAAAGCGGCUCACUGGACCACAACUGACGCUGAGGCGCGAAAGCUAGGGGAGCAAACAGG